AUCCAGCUGGUGAGUCCCGAAUGGGACGAAACGCGCGUCCUGGAU
rfam:Schistosoma mattheei strain Denwood, Zambia genome assembly, scaffold: SMTD_contig0010320